rnacentral:misc_RNA from 1 species
GUUGGUACACCAGAUUAUAUUGCUCCAGAAGUAUUGCUGAAGAAAGGAUAUGGCAUGGAUUGUGAUUGGUGGUCGCUAGGUGCAAUAAUGUAUGAGAUGCUUGUUGGUUAUCCUCCAUUUUAUUCUGAUGAUCCAGUAACAACAUGCAGAAAGAUUGUGCAUUGGAAAAAUCACUUGAAAUUUCCAGAUGAGGCAAGGCUGACACCUGAAGCAAAGGAUCUAAUCUGUAGGUUGCUUUGUGAUGUUGAACAUAGGCUUGGUACUCUUGGGGCAGACCAAAUUAAAGCUCAUCCCUGGUUCAAAGAUAUUGCAUGGAACAAAAUUUAUGAGAUGGAGGCAGCAUUUAAACCAGAAGUCAA